rnacentral:lncRNA from 1 species
CGCAUCAUGAAUGCCAUGUGAUGAAUUAGGUUGCUUGCAUUAGAAUUCACGAAUAUGUUGCAUUGCAUAUGUUAAAUGUUGAUGUGGAUGAAUGUUGGAUGAUCCAUAGCCCUCGAUCUAUGAUAUGACGAUAUGAUAUGUACGGUACGGAAAGUAAGACCAGUGGGACCCAUUCUACGUUCGCUGGCACUAUGUAAGGGAAAGACCAGGACCCAUUCUACGUUCUGGCACAGUUGGACACUGUUAUGUUAUGAUAUGUAAGGGAAAGACCAGGACCCAUUCUACGUUCUGGCACAGUUGGACCAUGUAGAGGGCUAUUGGUGACAAGUUCAUCCUUGAUGUGAUUGGUUGUGAUGUGAUGCAUUCCAUGAUUCAUAUGAUUUAAAUGUUUUUAUUAUUCUGCUCACUGGGCUCUAGUAGCUCACCCCUCUCCCAUUUCCCCAGGAUUGCAGGUACAGGGUAGACCAGGAGGUUUACAAGAGUAAUGAAGUCUGGUUUAUGUAAUAGAUAGUGUGGACAUGAUAAAUGUAUUAAUGUUAUGUAAAAGUACAGUUUCAGUCAUGUAAUGAUAUUGAGGA